UAAGCAAUACGGCAGACCGUCCGAAAGAGCGGGACGCAAAAUCAUAGGGUCUAAAUUCCUUACACAGAACAUGAAUGCCUAAUUGCUUUA
rnacentral:ncRNA from 1 species